rnacentral:sRNA from 1 species
UACAACUGAACAGAUGCCUAAAUACGAU